CCUACGGAUGGCAGCAGUGGGGAAUAUUGGACAAUGGGCGAAAGCCUGAUCCAGCCAUGCCGCGUGUGUGAAGAAGGCCUUCGGGUUGUAAAGCACUUUCAGUGGGGAAGAAAGCCUUGGGGCUAAUACCCUCGAGGAAGGACAUCACCCACAGAAGAAGCACCGGCUAACUCCGUGCCAGCAGCCGCGGUAAUACGGAGGGUGCGAGCGUUAAUCGGAAUUACUGGGCGUAAAGCGCGCGUAGGCGGUCUGAUAAGCCGGUUGUGAAAGCCCCGGGCUCAACCUGGGAACGGCAUCCGGAACUGUCAGGCUAGAGUGCAGGAGAGGAAGGUAGAAUUCCCGGUGUAGCGGUGAAAUGCGUAGAGAUCGGGAGGAAUACCAGUGGCGAAGGCGGCCUUCUGGACUGACACUGACGCUGAGGUGCGAAAGCGUGGGUAGCAAACAGGAUUAGAUACCCCUGUAGUC
rnacentral:rRNA from 1 species